rnacentral:rRNA from 1 species
UACGUAGGUGGCGAGCGUUGUCCGGAAUUACUGGGUGUAAAGGGCGCGCAGGCGGGGGCAUAAGUCAGAUGUGAAAUACCGGGGCUUAACUUCGGGGCUGCAUCUGAAACUAUGUUUCUUGAGUGUCGGAGAGGAAAGUGGAAUUCCCAGUGUAGCGGUGAAAUGCGUAGAUAUUGGGAGGAACACCAGUGGCGAAGGCGACUUUCUGGACGAUAACUGACGCUGAGGCGCGAAAGCGUGGGGAGCAAACAGG